AAAAAUCCGCCUGUCAUAUACCGAGGCUGUCGAUCGAGCGAGCUUGCUCGCGAAGUGACUGAACGGGGUUCCAGGAAAAGCCACUAAGCUUCAGCUGCACACGACCGUACCGCAAACCGACACUGGUGCGCGAGAUGAGUAUUCUAAGGCGCUUGAGAGAACUCUGGAGAAGGAACUCGGCAAAUUGACACCGUAACUUCGGGAGAAGGUGUGCCCCGGUAAUGUGAUGAGAACAUCUGAGCAUGAAAGGGUUGCAAUGAAUAGGUGGCUGCGACUGUUUAUCAAAAACACAGCACUCUGCAAACACGAAAGUGGACGUGUAGGGUGUGACGCCUGCCCGGUGCUGGAAGAUUAAGUGAUGGGGUGCAAGCUCUUGAUCGAAGUCCCAGUAAACGGCGGCCGUAACUAUAACGGUCCUAAGGUAGCGAAAUUCCUUGUCGGGUAAGUUCCGACCUGCACGAAUGGCGUAACGAUGGCCACACUGUCUCCUCCAGAGACUCAGCGAAGUUGAAAUGUUUGUGAUGAUGCAAUCUCCCCGCGGAAAGACGGAAAGACCCCAUGAACCUUUACUGUAGCUUUGUAUGGGACUUUGAAAAGAUCUGUGUAGGAUAGGUGGGAGGCUUUGAAGUGCGGCCGCUAGGUCGCAUGGAGCCAACGUUGAAAUACCACCCUGGUGUGUUUGAGGUUCUAACCUAGGCCCAUUAUCUGGGUCGGGGACAGUGCAUGGUAGGCAGUUUGACUGGGGCGGUCUCCUCCUAAAGUGUAACGGAGGAGUUCGAAGGUACGCUAGCUACGGUCGGACAUCGAGGCGAUAGUGCAAUGGCAUAAGCGUGCUUAACUGCGAGACUGACAGUCGAGCAGAUGCGAAAGCAGGACAUAGUGAUCCGGUGGUUCUGUAUGGAAGGGCCAUCGCUCAACGGAUAAAAGGUACUCUGGGGAUAACAGGCUGAUACCGCCCAAGAGUUCAUAUCGACGGCGGUGUUUGGCACCUCGAUGUCGGCUCAUCUCAUCCUGGGGCUGUAGCCGGUCCCAAGGGUAUGGCUGUUCGCCAUUUAAAGAGGUACGUGAGCUGGGUUCAAAACGUCGUGAGACAGUUUGGUCCCUAUCUUCCGUGGGCGCUGCAGAUUUGAGGAAGCCUGCUCCUAGUACGAGAGGACCGGAGUGGACGCACCGCUGGUGUACCUGUUGUCACGCCCGUGGCAUUGCAGGGUAGCUAAGUGCGGAAGAGAUAACCGCUGAAAGCAUCUAAGCGGGAAACUCGUUUCAAGAUGAGAUCUGCCGGGGCCUUGAGCCCCCUAAAGAGUCGUUCUAGACCAGGACGUUGAUAGGCUGGGUGUGGAAGUGCAGUAAUGCAUUAAGCUAACCAGUACUAAUUGCUCGUGCGGCUUGACCCU
rnacentral:rRNA from 1 species